UUGAUGUCGCUCGUAAGGGUGAAACUCAUUGUGAAACGUUUGAGAACCACUGCUACAGAACAAUGGAGAUUUCCGUUAUAUGGUCAGAGGUGGGUAGUAACGAGCUACAUUUACUCCGUUACAUUUACUUGAGUAAGUUUUUGAAAAAAAAUGUACUUUUUAAGUACCUUUUUUGCACGAUACUUUUUACUUUUACUUGAGUACAUUUAUGAAGAAGAAACGGUACUUUUACUCCGCUACAUUUGCAAAAUUCGACUCGUUACUUUAAAAAAAAUAAUUAGUUUAACACAUUAGAUAACAUGCCGUCAGUGGAGUUUCCAGUAACUUUUUUACCAAUGAGACGUGGCCAUACAGUCACAUGACCAGUUUGAAACCGUGGCGGGCGGAGCGGCCCAAGCGUUUCAAAGUAGCGGACACACGGAAAGAAGAAAUGUGAUGGCAGAGUCUACGCUAGAGCUGAAGAGGACGAACACCUUUGGCCUCACAUACAAAGAAUGUUUCGCUUAAAAGCAGCACAAAAGAACAGCUAUGUCUUCAGUGAGAGCCAAAACAAACCAGCGUGAAACAACUCAACUCGUUUAACCUGAUGAAACGGUCUCCACUUCAUGAGACAUCACCUAGACACAGAGCUGGAUGAGGCCAGGACAAACAGCAGCCUAACCGACGAAGAUGAUGGAUCCAUGGGGUCAGGAAAGCCAGAAGCAGAGGAACUGGAGAGGUACCUUUCAUGUCCAUUCACUGGAGGUGUGGAUCUAUUGCAUGGCUUUCCUCAGAUCAAGAAGCUGUCGAUCAAAGUCAAUACAGCUCUUCCUGCAUCUGCAGCCUGUGAGAGACUUUUUAGUCAUGCAGGACUCCUGUUCACUGCCAAACGGUCACAGCUUCACAGCAAGAACCUUGAGAGCAAACUGCUGUCUGAUUUGAUGUUACAAUUAAAAAUGUUUGUGUUUUUAUCUGAAGAGUUUAUAAAUAUCUGGUUUCCACUGUAUAUUUGAUGAAUGUCAGCACAAAGAGGGAGAGAGAGGAACAAGAGCAGGUGAGACACACAUGUUAGUCAAAUGGUUGUUUACCAAAAGUAUCACCGUAUCACAGGAACUCAUGUAUCUCGUACCUAGUGUUUCUUUUUAGGUUUGUUAUUUUUCAAAUUCUAUAUUUAUUAAGUUAUGCAGGCUUGUUUGCACAACAAGGCUAAAUAAUUAUAUAAACUUUUCUGAAUCUAAAUAGUGGACUUUGGUAGAAUUAAAAAAUAAGUGUAGUGCAGGUCUAUGAUGGUUUUUAGUGCUACUAUCAUCUAGUUCUGGUUCUAGUUCUGUCCUGGUUAAAUCCUAAGUAGUCCUGAUUUUGAACUGUUGUAGUCCUGUUUUAAUUCCAGAUCAGUUCUGGGUCUGGUUGAAUUGGGGUUUAGUCCCUGUGUCUUGAUACAGCCCCGACUUUGUUCUGCCUUGCUGCUUAAUUUAAAAAUUAGUUUAAGGUGUCCUGCAUAUGUGAUAUAUAUUUUUCCCUAUAUGAAGUCAUUCUUUUUUGAACAAAACUGAAAACAGAGGCAAUUAAUCUUUCAGCUGAAGCUGAACCACCAUUUCACUGAAGAAACAAUUUAUGGUAAAGUGAGCCAUACACAUAUGAACAUCCACAUAGUGGAAAUUUGUAUUUGUCUUUUAUAAUUAGUUUUACUCUGAUUUCAGUGUUUAUUUGUGAGUGUAGUUUUUACAUUUUUACAUAUUACAUUGUGUUAAUCCACUGUCUAUACUUCAGGGUAUUUUAGUAUACAGAAUAAGUUUUGUUAGAAUGUCUAUUCUUAUGGAAUUUUAGCACAGAUGUGUUUUUUUUUGUUUUUUUUAUUCCUGCUGCCUGCCUUGGGAAUAAACUUUUCCUGAUUAUA